UACGGAGGGUGCAAGCGCUAAUCGGAAUUACUGGGCGUAAAGCGUGCGCAGGCGGUUUGUUAAGUCCGUUGUGAAAGCCCCGAGCUCAACUUGGGAAUUGCAGUGGAUACUGGCAGGCUGGAGUACGGUAGAGGAAGGUGGAAUUCCCGGUGUAGCAGUGAAAUGCGUAGAGAUCGGGAGGAACACCAGUGGCGAAGGCGGCCUUCUGGACCAGUACUGACGCUCAUGCACGAAAGCGUGGGGAGCAAACAGG
rnacentral:rRNA from 1 species